rnacentral:rRNA from 1 species
UACGGGAGGCAGCAGUGGGGAAUAUUGCACAAUGGGCGCAAGCCUGAUGCAGCCAUGCCGCGUGUAUGAAGAAGGCCUUCGGGUUGUAAAGUACUUUCAGUCGUGAGGAAGGUGUUAAGGUUAAUAACCUUAGCAAUUGACGUUAGCGACAGAAGAAGCACCGGCUAACUCCGUGCCAGCAGCCGCGGUAAUACGGAGGGUGCGAGCGUUAAUCGGAAUUACUGGGCGUAAAGGGCACGCAGGCGGUUAAUUAAGUUGGAUGUGAAAUCCCCGGGCUUAACCUGGGAAUGGCAUUCAAGACUGGUUAGCUAGAGUCUUGUAGAGGGGGUAGAAUUCCAUGUGUAGCGGUGAAAUGCGUAGAGAUGUGGAGGAAUACCGGUGGCGAAGGCGGCCCCUGGCAAAGGACUGACGCUCAUGUGCGAAAGCUGGGGAGCAAACAGGAUUAGAUACC